CCUCCAGCUCACUGGGACAAACCCGAGCACCUCAGGGUCUUGUUUGCUGCUGGAGACACUCAGCUCAGGGUUUUGGUGGGGUAGGGCCUCACAUUUGGGGUCUCUGAGCCAGAUGUGCACCAGCAGCCUUAAUGUGUCUGUUCUUGCUGGGGACUUCUCACAGCCACAGACAAGAACCAGUCCAGUGUGAGUGCUCACUGUUGGAGGAAAGCCUUCUAAGAAGAUCCAACAAUGAAUAAUUCCAGUGAAAGCAUUGCUCAGG